AACCGGAACAACAAUAGACUGCUUAGUUGCGCCAUAACAGUAUAACUUUGCAACGAGUGCUUUUUCUCAUUUUAUCGAAAAAGCGCAAAUUUAAUUAUAUUGUUCUAUAAUGCCCAGAGAGUGUAAAAUUUGGAACGAAUCGAUGUCAACGCUCACAAGAACAAAAACCGGAACAACAUCAGACUACUCAGUUGCGCCAUAACAGUAUAACUUUGCAACGAGUGCUUUUUCUCAUUUUAUCGAAGAAAAAGAGUAAAACAUAAUUAUAUUGUUCUAUUAUGCCCAGAGAGUGUAAAUUUGGAACGAAUCGAUGUCAACGCUCGCAAGAACAAAAACCGAAACAACUUUAGACUACUCAGUUGCGCAAUAACAGUAUAACAUUGCAACGAGUGAUUUUUCUCAUUUUAUCGAAGAAAGCGUAAAACCUAAUUAUAUUUUUCUAUUAUGACCAGAGAGUGUAAAUUUGGAACGAAUCGAUGUCAACGCUCACAAGAACAAAAAUCGGAACAACAUUAGACUACUCAGUUGCUCCAUAACAGUAUAACUUUGCAACGAGUACUUUUUCUCAUUUUAUCGAAGAAAACGCAAAAUCUAAUUAUAUUGUUCUAUUAUGCCCAGAGAGUGUAAAUUUGGAACGAAUCGAUGUCAACGCUCACAUGAACAAAAAUCGGGACAACAUUAGACUACUGAGUUGCGCCCUAACAGUAUAAAUUUGCAACGAGACCUUUUUCUCAUUUUAUCGAAGAAAGCAUCAAACCUAAUUAUAUUGUUCUAUUAUGCCCAGACAGUGUAAUUUUGGAACGAAUCGAUGUCAACGCUCACAAGAAUAAAAACCGGAACAACAUUAGACUACUCAGUCGCGCCCUAACAGUAUAACUUUGCAACGAGUACUUUUUCUCAUUUUAUCGAACAAAGCGUCAAACCUAAUUAUAUUGAUUUAUUAUGCCCAGAGAGUGUAAAUUUAGAACGAAUCGAUGUCAACGCUCACAAGAACAAAAACCGGAACAACAAUAGACUACUUAGUUGCGCCAUAACAGUAUAACUUUGCAACGAAUGCUUUUUCUCAUUUUAUCGAAAAAGCGCAAAUUUAAUUAUAUUGUUCUAUAAUGCCCAGAGAGUGUAAAAUUUGGAACGAAUCGAUGUCAACGCUCACAAGAACAAAAACCGGAACAACAUGAGACUACUCAGUUACGCCCUAACAGUAUAAAUUUGCAACGAGCACUUUUUCUCAUUUUAUCGAAGAAAGCAUUAAACCUAAUUAUAUUGUAAUAUUAUGCCCAGAGGGUGUAAAUUUGGAACGAAUCGAUGUCAACGCUCACAAGAACAAAAACCGGAACAACAUUAGACUACUCAGUUGCGCCAUAACAGUAUAAUUUUGCAACGAGUGCUUUUCUCAUUUCAUCGAAGAAAGCGCAAAUCUAAUUAUAUUGUUCUAUUAUGCCCAGAGAGUGUAAAUUUGGAACGAAAUCGAUGUCAACGCUCACAAGAACAAAAACAGGAACAACAUUAGACUACUCAGUUGCGCCCUUACAGUAUAACUUUGCAACGAGUACUUUUUCUCAUUUUAUCGAAGAAAGCGUAAAACCUAAUUGUAUUCUUCUAUUAUGCCCAGAGAGUGUAAAUUUGGAACGAAUCGAUGUCAACGUUCACAAGAACAAAAACCGGAACAACAUUAGACUACUCAGUUGCGCCCUAACAGUAUAACUUUGCGACGAGUACUUUUUCUCAUUCUAUCGAACAAAGAGUAAAACAUAAUUAUAUUGUUCUAUUAUGCCCAGAGAGUGUAAAUUUGGAACGAAUCGAUGUCAACGCUCGCAAGAACAAAAACCGAAACAACUUUAGACUACUCAGUUGCGCAAUAACAGUAUAACAUUGCAACGAGUGAUUUUUCUCAUUUUAUCGAAGAAAGCGUAAAACCUAAUUAUAUUUUUCUAUUAUGACCAGAGAGUGUAAAUUUGGAACGAAUCGAUGUCAACGCUCACAAGAACAAAAAUCGGAACAACAUUAGACUACUCAGUUGCGCCCUAACAGUAUAACUUUGCAACGAGUACUUAUUCUCAUUUUAUCGAACAAAGCGUCAAACCUAAUUAUAUUGAUUUAUUAUGCCCAGAGAGUGUAAAUUUGGAACGAAUCAAUGUCAGCGCUCACAGGAACAAAAACCGGAACAACAAUAGACUGCUUAGUUGCGCCAUAACAGUAUAACUUUGCAACGAGUGCUUUUUCUCAUUUUAUCGAAAAAGCGCAAAUUUAAUUAUAUUGUUCUAUUCUGCCCAGAGAGUGUAAAUUUGGAACGAAUCGAUGUCAACGCUCACAAGAAAAAAAACCAGAACAACAUUAGACUACUCAGUUGCGACAUAACAGUAUAACUUUGCAACGAGUACUUUUUCUCAUUUUAUCGAAGAAAACGCAAAAUCUAAUUAUAUUGUUCUAUUAUGCCCAGAGAGUGUAAAUUUGGAACGAAUCGAUGUCAACGCUCACAUGAACAAAAAUCGGGACAACAUUAGACUACUGAGUUGCGCCCUAACAGUAUAAAUUUGCAACGAGACCUUUUUCUCAUUUUAUCGAAGAAAGCAUCAAACCUAAUUAUAUUGUUCUAUUAUGCCCAGACAGUGUAAUUUUGGAACGAAUCGAUGUCAACGCUCACAAGAAUAAAAACCGGAACAACAUUAGACUACUCAGUCGCGCCCUAACAGUAUAACUUUGCAACGAGUACUUUUUCUCAUUUUAUCGAAGAAAGCGUCAAACCUAAUUAUAUUGUUCUAUAAUGCCCAGAGAGUGUAAAUUUGGAACGAAUCGAUAUCAACACUCACAAAAAUAAAAACCGGAACAACAUUUGAGUACUCAGUUGUGCCUCUAACAGGUAUAACUUUUUGCAACCAGUACUUUAUUCUCAUUUUUUUGAAGUAAGCGGCCAAAACUAAUUUAUAUUGUAUUCUAUUUAGCCCCAGAGAGCUUGUAAAUUUCUGGAACGAAUUGAUGUCAACGCUCCACAAGAACAAAAACUGGAACAAAAUUAGGCUACUUAGUUGCGCCCUAACAGUAUAACUUUGCAACGAGUGCUUUUUCACAUUUUAUCGAAGAAAGCGUCAAACCUAAUUAUAUUGCUCUAUAAUGCCCAGAGAGUGUAAAUUUGGAACGAAUCGAUAUCAACACUCACAAAAAUAAAAACCGGAACAACAUUUGAGCACUCAGUUGUGUGCCCUUAACAGGUAUAACUUUUGCAACCAGUACUUUUUCUUCAUUUUAUCGAAAGUAAUGCGUCAAAACUAAUUUAUAUUAUGUCUCUUUUACGCCCAGAAGAGAGUAAAUCUGGAACGGAAUCGAUGUCAACGCUCACAAGAACAAAAACUGGAACAAAAUUAGGCUACUUAGUUGCGCCCUAACAGUAUAACUUUGCAACGAGUGCUUUUUCACAUUUUAUCGAAGAAAGCGUCAAACCUAAUUAUAUUGCUCUAUAAUGCCCAGAGAGUGUAAAUUUGGAACGAAUCGAUAUCAACACUCACAAAAAUAAAAACCGGAACAACAUUUGAGUACUCAGUUGCGCCUUAACAGUAUAACUUUGCAACCAGUACUUUUUCUCAUUUUAUCGAAGUAAGCGUCAAACCUAAUUAUAUUAUUCUAUUAUGCCCAGAGAGUGUAAAUUUGGAACGAUUCGAUGUCAACGCUCACAAGAACAAAAACCGGAACAACAUUAGACUCUUCAGUUGCACCCUAACAGUAUAACUUUGCAACGCGUACUUUUUCUCGUUUUAUCGAAGAAAGCGUAAAAUCUAAUUAUAUUGUUGUAUUAUGCCCAGAUAGUGUAAAUUUGGAACGAAUCGAUGUCAACGCUCACAAGAACAAAAACCGGAACAACAUUAGAGCACUCAGUUCCGCCAUAACAGUAUAACUUUGCAACGAGUGCUUUUUUUCAUUUUAUCGAAGAAAGCGUAAAACCUAGUUAUAUUAUUCUAUUAUGCCCAGAGAGUGUAAAUUUGGAACGAAUCGAUUUCAACGCUCACAAGAACAAAAACCGGAACAACAUUAGACUACUCAGUUGCGCCCUAACAGUAUAACUUUGCAACGAGUACUUUUUCUCAUUUAUCGAAGAAAGCGUCAAACCUAAUUAUAUUGUUCUAUCUUGCCCAGAGAGUGUAAAUUUGGAACGAAUCGAUGUCAAAGCUCACAAGAACAAAAAUCGGAUCAAUAUUAGACUACUCAGUUGCGCCCUAACAGUAUAACUUUGCAACGAGUGCUUUUUCUCAUUUUAUCGAAGAAAGCGUAAAUCUAAUUAUAUUGUUCUAUUAUACCUAGAGAGUGUAAAAUUGGAACGAACUGAUGUGAGCGCUCACAAGAACAAAAACCGGAUCAAUAUUAGACUACUCAGUUCCGCCCUAACAGUAUAACUUUGCAACGAGUACUUUUUCUCAUUUAUCGAAGAAAGCGUCAAACCUAAUUAUAUUGUUCUAUUAUGCCCAGAGAGUGUAAAUUUGGAACGAAUCGAUUUUAAAGCUCACAAGAACAAAAACCGGAACAAUAUUAGACAACUCAGUUGCGCCCGAACAGUAUAACUUUGCAACGAGUGCUUUUUCUCAUUUUAUCGAAGAAAGCGUCAAACCUCAUUAUAUUGUUCUAUUAUGCCGAGAGAGUGUAAAUUUGGAACGAAUCGAUGUCAACGCUCACAAGAACAAAAACCGGAACAACAUUAGACUCUUCAGUUGCACCCUAACAGUAUAACUUUGCAACGCGUACUUUUUCUCGUUUUAUCGAAGAAAGCGUAAAAUCUAAUUAUAUUGUUGUAUUAUGCCCAGAUAGUGUAAAUUUGGAACGAAUCGAUGUCAACGCUCACAAGAACAAAAACCGGAACAACAUUAGAGCACUCAGUUCCGCCAUAACAGUAUAACUUUGCAACGAGUGCUUUUUUUCAUUUUAUCGAAGAAAGCGUAAAACCUAGUUAUAUUAUUCUAUUAUGCCCAGAGAGUGUAAAUUUGGAACGAAUCGAUUUCAACGCUCACAAGAACAAAAACCGGAACAACAUUAGACUACUCAGUUGCGCCCUAACAGUAUAACUUUGCAACGAGUACUUUUUCUCAUUUUAUCGAAGAAAGCGUAAAAUCUAAUUAUAUUGUUCUAUUAUUCCCAGAUAGUGUAAAUUUGGAACGAAUUGAUGUCAACGCUCACAAGAACAAAAACCGGAACAACUUUAGACUACUCAGUUGCGCCUAACAGUAUAACUUUGCAACGAGUACUUUUUCUCAUUUUAUCGAAGAAAGCGUCAAAACUAAUUAUAUUGUUCUAUUACGCCCAGAGAGUGUAAAUUUGGAACGAAUUGAUGUCAACGCUCACAAGAACAAAAACUGGAACAAAAUUAGGCUACUUAGUUGCGCCCUAACAGUAUAACUUUGCAACGAGUGCUUUUUCACAUUUUAUCGAAGAAAGCGUCAAACCUAAUUAUAUUGCUCUAUAAUGCCCAGAGAGUGUAAAUUUGGAACGAAUCGAUAUCAACACUCACAAAAAUAAAAACCGGAACAACAUUUGAGUACUCAGUUGCGCCUUAACAGUAUAACUUUGCAACCAGUACUUUUUCUCAUUUUAUCGAAGUAAGCGUCAAACCUAAUUAUAUUAUUCUAUUAUGCCCAGAGAGUGUAAAUCUGGAACGAAUCGAUGUCAACGCUCACAAGAACAAAAACCGGAACAACAUUAGACUACUCAGUUGCGCCAUAACAAUAUAACUUUGCAACGAGUACUUUUUCUUAUUUUAUCGAAGAAAGCGUAAAUCCUAAUUAUAUUAUUCUAUUAUGCCCAGAGAGAGUAAAUUUAGAACCAAUCGAUGUCAACGCUCACAAGAACAAAAAUCGGAACAACAAUAGACUACUCAGUUGCACCCUAACAGUAUAACUUUACAACGAGUGCUUUUUCUCAUUUUAUCGAAGAAGGCGUCAAACCUAAUUAUAUUGUUCUAUUAUUCCGAGAAAGUGUAAAUUUGGAACGAAUCGAUGUCAAAGCUCACAAGAACAAAAACCGGAACAAUAUUGGACUACUCAGUUGCGCCCUAACAGUAUAACUUUGCAACGAGUGCUUUUUCCCAUUUUAUCGAAGAAAGCGUAAAUGCUAAUUAUAUUGUUCUAUUAUGCCCAGAGAGUGUAAAUUUGGAACGAACCGAUGUCAGCGCUCACAAGAACAAAAACCGGAACAACAUUAGACUAAUCAGUUGCGCCCGAACAGUAUAAUUUUGCAACGAGUGAUUUUUCUCAUUUUAUCGAAGAAAGCGUCAAACCUAAUUAUAUUGUUCUAUUAUGCCCAGAGAGUGUAAAUUUGGAACGAAUCGAUGUCAACGCUCACAUGAACAAAAAUCGGGACAACAUUAGACUACUGAGUUGCGCCCUAACAGUAUAAAUUUGCAACGAGACCUUUUUCUCAUUUUAUCGAAGAAAGCAUCAAACCUAAUUAUAUUGUUCUAUUAUGCCCAGACAGUGUAAUUUUGGAACGAAUCGAUGUCAACGCUCACAAGAAUAAAAACCGGAACAACAUUAGACUACUCAGUCGCGCCCUAACAGUAUAACUUUGCAACGAGUACUUUUUCUCAUUUUAUCGAAGAAAGCGUCAAACCUAAUUAUAUUGUCUAUUAUGACCAGAGAGUGUAAAUUUGGAACGAAUCGAUGUCAACGCUCACAAGAACAAAAACCGGAAGAAAAUUAGACCACUUAGUUGCGCCCUAACAGUAUAACUUUGCAACGAGUACUUUUUCUCAUUUUAUCGAAUAAAGCGUAAAACCUAAUUAUAUUGUUCUAUUAUGCCCAGAGAGUGUAAAUUUGGAACGAAUCGAUGUCAACGCUCACAAGAACAAAAACCGGAAUAACUUUAGACUACUCAGUUGCGCCAUAACAAUAUAACUUUGCAA
rnacentral:lncRNA from 1 species